rnacentral:rRNA from 1 species
GACGAACGCUGGCGGCGGGCCUAAUACAUGCAAGUAGAACGCAGUUGCGAACGGGUGAGUAACGCGUAGGUAACUGCCUCAUAGCGGGGGUUUACUAUUGGAAACGAUAGCUAAUACCGCAUACUUUGAGAUGGACCUGCGUUGUAUGAGCUAGUUGGUGAGGUAAAGGCUCACCAAGGCGACGAUACAUAGCGGACCUGAGAGGGUGAUCGGCCAAACUGGGACUGAUACACGGCCCAGACUCCUACGGGAGGCAGCAGUAGGGAAUCUUCGGCAAUGGACGGAAGUCUGAGCGAGACACGCCGCGUGAGUGAAGAAGGUUUUCGGAUCGUAAAACUCUGUUGUUAGAGAAGCGGUAUCUAACCAGAAAGCCACGGCUAACUACGUGCCAGCAGCCGCGGUAAUUC